UCUACACUAUUCUAGAAAAAUUACUUUCAUGGCAUCCAUCAAAACCCCAACAGUCAACACCCUAGACUUUUUCGUCACUUUCGUCUCAUUUGCUCAGCCACUUUGUCUCCUUUACUCUUCUGCUUAAAUGCUGUUGAAUUGACAUCUUACAAGCAGGAUUCUGGAAAUUAAACUUGUAUGAGCGGAUAACUAGAUGUGCAAUCCACUGUAGCAUGUUCCAUGCUUAACUACGGCUCUGUGUUCAACUGGUUUUGGUUUGAUUUCCAGAUUUCUCCAUUUGCUCUUUGUUUUUCGCCUCUUCUAUACCUGUAUGGCAGUGAAUUUUUCUAGUUUCUUUCUUUUUGUCGUUCUUUCUUUAUUGUACUCAUUCCUUGGUUAUGAGAUUUUGGCGGAUAUCUGUUAGCUUCCUCUUAUUCUGAAUAUUUUUGGUCGAUUUUGAACAUGCAUGUCAAUAUUUUUACUUCUUUUUCACAUGUAUGUUUGGAGUUAGAUACUUGGGGGGAUAAUAUGUGUUUCUGAUUUUUGUUAGGUAAAAUAGCUUUCAAAGGAAUUUUUCUGGGAAGUUUGUUAGUCCAAUGACGCUCUUACUGUUGGUUGGGUUAAGGCCUUAUGUAAAGAAUGUUAUUUGGGGGAUCAACAUUUUAAUUUAUAAAAUUCUUGUUCUUUAGUCA